AGCGCGGGUGCGAGUCGGAGGGUGCAAGCCCGUGGGCGAAGUGAAAGCGAGUGUAAAAACGAGCAGUUUGGGGCGGCAUAAGAUCGUUGAUCUUAAGACCGACCCAGAGCAGUUGCGCUGGGACCCGAAAGAUGGUGAACUAUGCCGGAGUAGGGCAAAGCCAGAGGAAACUCUGGUGGAGGCUCGUAGCGGUGCUGACGUGCAAAUCGCUCGUCGAACUUGGGUAUAGGGGCGAAAGACUAAUCGAACCAUCUAGUAGCUGGUUCCCUCCGAAGUUUCUCUCAGGAUAGCGGGCCGACAAGUUGUUUUGUGCGGUAAAGCGAAUGAUUAGCGCAUUUCGGGGGCGUUUAGCCUUUGGGCGAUUCUCAAACUUUCAAUGCGCAAGGGUGCCGCUGCUUAAUUGAGCGGUACCGGUAAAAACGUCGGCCCUGUGGGCCACUUUUGGUAAGCAGAACUGGCGAUACGGGAUGAACCGUAAGCAUGGUUAAGGCGCCAAACUGCCCGCUUAUAGACCCCACAAAAGGUGUUGAUUCAUCGAGACAGCAGGACGGUGGCCAUGGAAGUCGGAAUCCGCCAAGGAGUGUGUAACAACUCACCUGCCGAAUGAAUUAGCCCUGAAAAUGGAUGGCGCUGAAGCGGGCGGCCGACACCAUGCCGUCUGGACAAGAAAUGUUUUCAGAUGAGUAGGAGGGCGUGGCGGCCGUGUCGAAGCGCGCUUGCAGAAGCGUGUGGAACGGCCGCUAGUGCAGAUCUUGGUGGUAGUAGCAAGUAUUCAAGCGAGAUCCUUGAAGGGCGAAGUGGGGAAGGGUUUCACGCGAACAUUGAUUGGGCGUGAGUGAGUCGUUCCUAAGCCGAGUGGCAAUUGCUAAUUAACGGCGAAAGGGAAGCGGGUUGACAUUCCCGCACACGGAUGUGGAGGCGGCGACGCAUUAUUGGGGCGAACACGCUGGCGAUGGCGCUGGGCAGAGUUGUCUUUUCUGUUUGACCGCUUGCGCACGCAGUGUGGAAUCCGCUUGUCGGGAGAAACACGCGUGUACGGGCAGAGCGCUGGGGCUUUUCCAGCGUCCAGCUCGCCAUCGACGGCCCUUGAAACUUUGCCUGCUG
rnacentral:rRNA from 2 species